GGCUGGUCCGAAGGUAGUGAGUUAUCUCGAUUAUUCACAGUCAGUUGCAGAUCGAACUCCUUGUUCUACUCUUCCUCACUUCUCACUACUGCACUUGACUAGUCUUAA
ensembl:Y_RNA Y_RNA Y RNA